rnacentral:rRNA from 1 species
GACGUAGGGGACGAGCGUUGUCCGGAUUCAUUGGGCGUAAAGCGCGCGUAGGCGGAUUUGCCAGUCAGGGGUGAAAUCCCGGGGCUCAACCUCGGAACUGCCUUUGAUACAGCAAGUCUUGAGUUCGAGAGAGGUGGGUGGAAUUCCUAGUGUAGAGGUGAAAUUCGUAGAUAUUAGGAAGAACACCGGUGGCGAAGGCGGCCCACUGGCUCGACACUGACGCUGAGGUGCGAAAGCGUGGGGAGCAAACAGG